GUUGUAUGUGUCUCAGUGUGUAUGCACAGAUACUCUGUCCCCUCUACCUUUCAGGCUUUUUGUGUCACUUCCACUUUGAAACUUUCACUUACUCAGCAGCCUCAGAAGGCAGGUCGUCCUAACUAAAAUGGCGACACUCGUCCCUAACGCAGUGGUUCCCAACCUUGGGGUCGCAUGGAAUUGAAAUGGGGUCGCCUGAAAUAAUUUUGAAUGAGCUGGGGGACAAGAAGAGAGAAGAGCAGAGGAGAGGAAGAUGGAGGCGCAGAAGAACAGAGACACUCUCAGAUCAUCAGCAGGUGGUGCUCCACAUAUCUCAGACAUGAGGAUUGUACUGAUGGGAAGCAGAAAGGUGGGGAAGAGUUCAUCAGGAAACACCAUCCUGGGAAGAGAGGAGUUUGAUACCUCAGGAGAAACAGCUGAGUGUGUGAAGAGAGAGGGAGAAACAGCAGGGAGACACAUCACUGUAGUGGAGGCACCCGGAUGGAAUCGCACAUUCUCUGUAGAGUACACUCCUGAACGUGAUAAACAAGAGAUUGUCCUCAGUGUGUCUCUGUGUCCUCCAGGACCCCAUGCUGUACUGCUGGUCAUUAAUGUGAAUGGGUCAUUCA